rnacentral:rRNA from 1 species
CGGGGACGGGUGAGUAAUGUCGGGGAAACCGCCCGAUGGAGGGGGGUAACUACUGGAAACGGUAGCUAAUACCGCAUAACGUCGCAAGACCAAAGAGGGGGACCUUAGGGCCUCUUGCCAUCGGAUGUGCCCAGAUGGGAUUAGCUAGUAGGUGGGGUAACGGCUCACCUAGGCGACGAUCCCUAGCUGGUCUGAGAGGAUGACCAGCCACACUGGAACUGAGACACGGUCCAG